rnacentral:snRNA from 1 species
GUGCUUGCUUCAGCAGCACACAUACUAAAAAAUUGGAACGAUGCGGAGAAGAUUAGCAUGGCCCCCGUGCAAGGAUGACACACAAAUUUGUGAAGCAUUCCAUAUUUCU